UACAGAGGGUGCAAACGUUGCUCGGAAUCACUGGGCGUAAAGGGCGUGUAGGCGGGACAGUAAGUCGGGCGUGAAAUCCCGGGGCUCAACCCAGGAACUGCACUCGAAACUACUAUUCUUGAGUGUCGGAGAGGAAAGCGGAAUUCCUGGUGUAGAGGUGAAAUUCGUAGAUAUCAGGAGGAACACCAGUGGCGAAGGCGGCUUUCUGGACGAUAACUGACGCUGAGACGCGAAAGCGUGGGGAGCAAACAGG
rnacentral:rRNA from 1 species